UGUCUGUCCUUCAGCUCCUAUAAUUUUAAUUGGAGUGGGCUACGGCUUAAUUAACAUGUAUUGAUUGUAGUCCUGAGUGCAUCUAUAGGUGGGUGGACUGUGUUGGGAGAAAUCCUCCUCGGAGAUGAAGAUUUGCUGAUAACAUUCUGAAUAAUUGUCUUGUGAAGAGACAGAAGUCUUUGCUGUUUUCUCUGCAGAAAGCUUUAAACAAAAGGUGCACGGAGAAGACAGAAAAUUGGAGGAGAGUUGGAGCAAAUAAAGAAGCAGAUGCAACUGGAAACUUUUUGGGGGAUAAGAAGCAUGAGGGAACUGCUGAAAUGUGCUCCCUCCUGCCCUGCAGUGUUGAUCCCUGGCACUGUGAGGAUUAGCAAGUGCCCAAAAGCAUCAGGAGCUGACUUUGCUCUGCCAUGAGACCCCUCCUCACAGGGGAAGCUGGCAGCACCCUGUGGACCAGACAGUUUUAUAACAUCAAGAAGAAUGGAAAAGCUGCAAGGCAUGCACGCUCAAGACGCUGCGCUCCUGGAAAGUUCUGGAUGGGCUCCAGGCAAUGUUUGGUGGCAAAGAAAGAUGAAGGACUUGGAAAGAAGAGGAAAUAAUCAGCCAAGCCCUCAUCCUGCAAUAUUCCUGUUUCUGUGAGCUGGGAAUGCCACUGGAGCAUGGGAAGGACAGAAAAAAUGUGUUCCUGCAAGGUCACGUGUCUGAGGGUGGUUACAAGGACAAUGUUCCAGUUUUAGACUACCACAGCUCUCCUGGCUGGCCCGGUGCAAGGUGGCCACGGGCCUCCCACAGCUCUGCUCUAGCUCAGCCUUCUCAAGGCAUCAGUAACAGCACAGCAGCUUUGCCUGCUGCUCCAGCUUCUCCCAGCUGCCUGUGGGAUUCCUGAGGAGCAAAGGCCACCCUUCCCACCUCUUUUGUAGAGCUGUGAGUACCUGUGUGUGCUGGUCCAACAGCAAACAUCUGCAGUGCAUCCUGCAUGGCAGGAGGAUGGAUGGGCUGUCUGGUCCCUUGCCAGGCACGCAGGAAAGAUGAGUUACUCAGUGUGCUGCCUGCAUUUGAUAUGUGGCAGACUCAGCAGAAGGGAAGACUGAUGCCCUCCAUCCAUCCUGGACCAACCUCUGGGUGUGAGGAGUGUGCUGGAGGGACUGAUGGUGCUUCUCAGCUUGUCAAGGGAUGGAGAAACUUAAGGAAAAAGGAGGGGAGGAAAAAGUCAAGGCUGGACAGAAAAGGCAAAAUGAGCUGUUGGUGUGAGGAGACAGAGGCUCACCAGGACCUGCCUUGUGUCCCAUCCCAGUGGUGUCUUGGACUCUCUGCCUUUUCCACCUCCAUCCAGACCUGCUGAGCAGCUUCCUGCGGAUUCUGAGUGGACAGAAACAGCCUCUGUUAGCCAAGCAUGGAAUUCAGAUUGUUAUUUUUACUGUGAGAAUAACUUCAAAACUUCAAUCCAAUACAGAAAGGCAGAGAGGGAAAGGUUUAAUUGUCCCGACUCUGCUGCAGGCUGAUAAGCUCCCAUUGAUUUUCUGUAGCCAAGUCUCCAGAGUGAACGUGGGUGAUGUUCGUGCAGGUCUGAAGGAGCUUGUGGCAUUUUGAAAAUGCCCAGAUCCACAGUGGAGCAGCUGGUGGAGGAGAUCCUUGUAUCCCACUCGCCCAUCCCUGGCAAGCUCCUUCCCUGGGAUUGCAGCCACCCUCACCUGGCAGGCACAGAGAGGCAGGAGCAAAGGAAUUCUCCGUGGCCAGAGUGCCCUUGCUAGAGCAAUACUUGGACUGGGUGGUGCUCCCUGAGAGAUCUCUGCCUUUACCUCCUUUCCAUGACUUAUGAUCCUCCUCCUAUCAUCCCCCUGCUCUACACGAAUUCUUGGGCUUGAAGCUGCAGAAAUGCUGAUUUCUGAGCAGCUGUAACCCUUCCAAGGAGGACAGGACCAUCUCACCUGGCUGAAAGCGUCAGACCAGCAGAAAUCCCACGUUUUCAGGGGGUUUUACACAUCUCAGGAGCCUGCACAGAGCUCAUUCUUUUCUGGAAAAUCAGCAGAGCACAGGUUCUGGAGGUGGAGCGUCGCUGCAUAUUUUACCCAUAAACCCAAAUGGUUUAAAAUAGACAAGGCAUUCCUUUUUAAAGGAAUAAAGGAGUAGAAACCUUUUGGGUCUUUUAUGAAGCAGCCAUCAGGAAGAAAGCUUUUAAUCUUGGUGAUUUAACAGAGCUGGGGAAUUAGCUUUUAACCAGCCACUCCCUGCCUACUCCAUUUUUUAGGGAAAAAAGCAGCAAGGCGAAGAGCCAAAGCUGAGAUGGGACUGGGAGCUGAAUGAACUGCUGCAAUCCCUGCUCCAGCUGUCUUCACAAGGUGGUGGGGAUGGAAAAUGGUGGUGGGGAUGUGAGAACAGGGAUGAACAGGAGCUCUCCCUGCUCUCACAUCAUCUGUGCUCCAAAAUUUUGUCACAGUUGUGUCCACACAAAAAAACAGGGCAGGGAUGGGAGAUGUACAGCCCGCAGAUCCUGCUGAUGGGACGGGCUGUGACACCUGGAAGUGCCACUGGGAAAGGCUCAAGAGGGCAGAGGGGCAAUGCAAAGCUCAUUUAGCCAUGAAAGUUGUGGGUGAGGAACCUCUCCCAGUCAGGAAAACCCUGGAGAAGGAAUGUCCCAGGAAGCUUUUCCUGCCAUGGUGGGACCUGAUUCCCUGAUCAUCUGUGGGCAGGAUCUUCUCAAAGACAGACCCCUAGCUCCACCAAGGAACUUGGAUUUGGGUACAGUUUGCCUGGUGCUGCUGGCACUUUGAUUCCAAAGGGAAUUUAACCAGUUUAUCCUCAGGAGCGUGUGGGGUUUUAAUUAACACAGAGGGAAAAAAAAGAGUGAGAACACAACAUCAGCUGGGCUCCUGCUAUGUCUGACACCUUCAUCUUCUCCUCCUGGGGAAGCUCUUGGCCAGGCUGCCUAGGGAAUGUGUUUAAUGUUUCCUUCUCAGGAUGGGCAGGGACAAGUGACAAUGAGCACAGGGAGCCACCCCUGAGGGGACAGAGCUGCUGGGACACCCACACUGACAGAAAACCCCUUAUUCUGGGUAAAAACGGGAUCCAAGGAGAUACCUAUUCUUCAUUUAGCUGAGCCACUUCCACCCUCUUUCCAGGAAGAUCCUGUCCCUUGGAGCUCCCUUUGUUUUGCAGGGACACUCACAGGAACAGCCACUCACAGCCUUUGCCCCAGAUUCAGAGGAUCAGAACCAUGGAAUGGUUUGGCUUGGAAGGAACAUAAAAAAUCAUCUCGUUCCAACCCCCUGAAAGGGCAGGGACAUCCCCAAGAUUGUUCAUCCAGCCUGGCUUUGAGCAUUUCCAGGGGUGAGGCACCCACAGUUUCUCUGUUCCACCUGUUAGGGGGAUUUGCUGUGGUCUCUGCAGAGAUUUCCUUUAAAAGAAAACAGAAGGAAAAGCCAACAGCAGAGGGGGAUCCCACCUGCCUGUCCUCCUCCUUAGGAAAGGAGAAAAGAAGUAAAUUACUGAGAUUUAGGUUUCCUCUCUGGUGAUCCACAGCCUCCUGCCUCGGCCAGUACCCCCAGCUCUUAUCUCUUAUCUCAUACCUGCUCUUUCCAUCUCGCAGAGUUUGGAAAUUGGGCUCCAGCUGGUUCUUUCUGAUGCAGAGAUAGUGUAUCACAGGCCAGGCAGGCAGGGCUCUGUAAUUAAUGGUAAUUAAUCCCUUAAUCCCGCGGAGGUGGGAGGGACUGGCUGCCCACUGAGUGCACGGGGGUGGCAGAUCCAGAGCAGGAGCACUGCCCGUCCCACACGGCGCCAGAGAGGAUUUCUCUCUCUGAUGAGCAAUAUUUCUAAUUUCUCUACUUCAGUAAUUAGGUAUUAGCAUGAGAGUUUCGUUCCCCCCACAGCUGGUUGUGGUAAUCUGGUGAAACCACUUUUGCUACCAAAAAAAAAGGAAAUUUAUUUUUUUUUUUCCUUCUGCCUUUCCUCCUGGCAUCAACAUUUUGAUUUAGAGGUGCCAAAAAGCACCGUUUCACUUGGGCAAUUUACCACGUUUAACCUGGAACGUUCCUCGGUGCUUUCAUCCAGUCAAUCAAAACUGUUCAUCUCCCAGCUUUGCAGCAUAAAAAUACCCCUUUCCCUUUUCUUUUGGGAAAAAAAUAAAAUUGUGCAUGUCAGUUCUUCUAUGCCAACAGUGAGCAAGAGCAGAAAACAUCCAGAUUGUGUAAUUCCCUUGGAAAUGGCAUUUGAAUGGAGAAAAAUUCUCUCCUUAGAAUGUUAGAUCUAAUGAAAAUUUUCAUAAAAUAGAUAUAUAUUUAUCUUUUUAUAUAUUUGACUAUAUAUAUGCAAAUAUAAAAAAAUAUAUAUUUAAAUAUGUGUUUAUAUAUAUGACUAACUAUAUAUAUCAAUAGAUCAAAUAGAUAUAUUUAAUAUAAAAAUGUAUAAAAUAUUUAUAGAAUUCUAUAAAUAUAUAUUUAUAUAAU